GCAUAUCAAUAAGCGGAGGAAAAGAAACCAACAGGGAUUGCCCUAGUAACGGCGAGUGAAGCGGCAACAGCUCAAAUUUGAAAUCUGGCUUUCGGGCCCGAGUUGUAAUUUGUAGAGGAUACUUUUGAUGCGGUGCCUUCCGAGUUCCCUGGAACGGGACGCCAUAGAGGGUGAGAGCCCCGUCUGGUUGGAUGCCAAAUCUCUGUAAAGUUCCUUCGACGAGUCGAGUAGUUUGGGAAUGCUGCUCUAAAUGGGAGGUAUAUGUCUUCUAAAGCUAAAUAUUGGCCAGAGACCGAUAGCGCACAAGUAGAGUGAUCGAAAGAUGAAAAGCACUUUGAAAAGAGAGUUAAAAAGUACGUGAAAUUGUUGAAAGGGAAGCGUUUAUGACCAGACUUGGACUUGGUUAAUCAUCUGGGGUUCUCCCCAGUGCACUUUUCCAGUUCAGGCCAGCAUCAGUUUUCGCCGGGGGAUAAAGGCUUCGGGAAUGUAGCUCUCUUCGGGGAGUGUUAUAGCCCGUUGUGUAAUACCCUGGUGGAGACUGAGGUUCGCGCUUCUGCAAGGAUGCUGGCGUAAUGGUCAUCAACGACCCGUCUUGAAACACGGACCAAGGAGUCGUCUUCGUAUGCGAGUGUUCGGGUGUCAAACCCCUACGCGUAAUGAAAGUGAACGCAGGUGAGAGCUUCGGCGCAUCAUCGACCGAUCCUGAUGUUCUCGGAUGGAUUUGAGUAAGAGCAUACGGGGCCGGACCCGAAAGAAGGUGAACUAUGCCUGUAUAGGGUGAAGCCAGAGGAAACUCUGGUGGAGGCUCGCAGCGGUUCUGACGUGCAAAUCGAUCGUCAAAUAUGGGCAUGGGGGCGAAAGACUAAUCGAACCUUCUAGUAGCUGGUUUCCGCCGAA
rnacentral:rRNA from 1 species